GGGGUGUGGAUUUCUACUAGGAGUAACCACUGGGAAGGAAGUAAUGUUCAUUAAGUGUGCAGGCAGUGCAGGACUAAGCAUGCUCAGUGAAAAAGCUUUUUCUCCUUUGCCUGUCAAGCCCCAGGUUUGAACUCAUUCCAGAAUGCCGGAUUUACUUUUCUUGGGGAAGAAACAGUACCUGCCUGGGCUGCAUUUUUUCCUUCCCUCCUCAGAAGACUGGAAACAAUAUUCUUUUGAUGCCAGUAACGUGCCUGCCUGCAAGUGGGAAUCUUGCCCUGGAGAAGGAGACAAACUUUGGUACCUGUGAAACGAAGACUCCUUAGGUAGCAGAGGAAAGGAAAGCAAUUCUAUUUACCAUAUUGCUCACAGACUCCACAAAUGAGUAACUUGAUGACUUCAGUGGGAAUUGCUCUUAAACAAGAGAGAGGAAGGGUCACCUGGAUUCUCCUGGAGAUGGGAGUCAGGGGCACAAGUCUCCAGGAAGGCACAAGAAGAGGAUCUCAAAUGCUGCCUCUUCUCCAUCCCACAUCGAGGUCCAGGCAAGUAUUGUUUCCCCUGGUUGGAGCUUCACUGGUGAGUCCUUUCUCACACAGGGAAAUGGUGUCACUGAAGAUUUGUUUCAUAAAAAUUUGAUGAGAAUUUGCUUCAUUAAGCAGAGGGUGGGUUAUUGUGCCCCACUGGCCAGUGUGGCAUUGCACUCUUAGGGAGAGUUUAUAUGGCCCUAGCCAGGAAAAGCUGAAUCAUUGGAUUAUUAAGCUUUUGGGAAUUCCAAAUCCAUGUCCUGUUACCACCUGAGACACACAGAGGUAGAGCAAUCUCACUUGAAGUCACUGGUUAGGUGACACUCUGCAUUUCCAGGCCUUUUGGGUUUUACAAAGCACCAGAACCAGGCCCUUGGAGUGAAUUUUGUGUCCAGGUGGGCUCUGCAUGCCAUGGGUGGCAUCUCCCCCAGGGAUUGUCACUGGUUUCCAUACCACUGUUUAUAGAAUUAGGUAUUAUUUGAGAGGAGCAAAGCAAUUCCAGCUUGACAGGUAGAAAAGAGGUUGGUUAGAGCCCUGUUCGAAGUGGAGGAGUCUGAAAUAAGCCAUGAAAGAACAUAUUAUCUUCCACUGGGAAAAGCCUGCAUGGAGAGACUCAUUUAGCCAUGGCAAGCUGGGGGAGAAGUGUGGAGUGAGAGACCAACCAGGCAAUUACUCUACUAAUGGGGGAGAUGAGGUUGGAUUUCAGCAAAUCAGUGCAAAUUUGUGGUUCACUAUGUCUGUUGAAAAGAUUCUGAAUGCAGAGAGUGUGAGGGGACGUUUUCCUUUUCUGAUGGAAAAUGCUCCAGUGUUUAACAUCAAUUGGAUGCUGAACUUUGUCAACAUCCUGGAUGCUCCAGGUGCAGGCUGGGAGAUGGAAGUUCUUGUCAGGGACUCUGUCCUGCUUGGGCUGGUCUUCCCUGAGCUUGAGACACUUUUGUGCUGGCAGUUUUCACUCCUCCUCAUUCAAAAUGAGCAAACCAGAACUCUGAAAGUCCUUGUGUGAGCACAGCAGAAAACUUUCAUGUGAGAAUGUUGGCAAGAAAGAGAAGGGGAUUUUUUAAUAAUUGUUGUUUCCUUUCUAACUUGGGGCAAUUGCUGUGUUUUGGUGCUGUGUGUCAGAAGUGCCUCAUAUGCUCAAAUGUGUCUUAAUUCAGAUUUCAGAGCAUCACUUCAGCUUUGCAGGAUAUCCCUUUCCCACGAGGUGAUUUGGGUAGGAAAGGUAUUUGUGGUAUAACUUCAGUUUUAUUCAGACACUUGAAAUCUUCUCAAUUGCCUUCUCCAGUCUGUGCAUGGAACUCCCACAUUUAUUUACAUGAAUGCACUUUUCUGAACCAGAGCAGUCGGUGUGGAAUUGUUGUGCAUGUUCUGAAAGUUGUGGACACUGUUUUAUUUCUUUACAUUGACUUUGACUGUGAUGAAAAACUCAACCUGAGUGUGAGUCCCAGGUGUAAAAAGGGCAAGUCUCACAGGCUGUGUUUUUAGCUGCCACUUGUUCCUUUGGUUUUGCAACAUUUUUUUGUCCAUGGUUUGAGAAGGGACUGAUGUCUAAUGUCAUUUAGAGAGUUUUGGAUUAGAUAUCAGGAAGAAGUUCUUGGCUGUGAGGGUGGGGAGGCCCUGGCACAGGUUGCCCCAUCCCUGGAAGUGUCCAAGGCCAGGUUGGAGCAAGCUGGGACAGUGGAAGGUGUCCCUGCCCAUGGCAGGGGGUGGCACUGGAUGAUCUUUUAGAUCCCUUCCAAGCAUUCUGGGAUUUCUGUAAGGUGCAGAGGCCUGUUCAGGGCUUUAUCAAAGGGAAAUGGAGCUCUGCACUGCCAGGAUUUCCCAUCCUUCACAGGUUCUUAUUAUCUUGUCCAGCCUCAUCCUGUUCUUACGUGGCAAAAGGGGGAAGGAAUGAGAUUAGAGGCUCCAUGGUUUGCUGGGUGAAGGGGGGGCAUCAGCAGCUGAUGCACAGGGGUGAUGAAGCCCCAAGCACCUGAGGAAUGUGCUGGGUUGGGUUUAGGUGCUGAGAGAGCAACAAACAGUUGCCAGUCAUGUUCUUCUUCCUGCAGAAUUCACCUCAGGCUUUGUUCCUGGUUAUAUCUCCCCCUGUUCUGCUGGUGGUAACUGCCUUGAUACCCAGCUCUGGUUCACAUUCCUGCCUGUGCACGGAAAAUCCUUCCCGUUUCUGCCAAGUCAUCACCUUCUCAACAUGCAAAUCCCUCCUAAAACCUCCCUUCUUUGGUAUUGACCACACGAGAUGAUUUAUUCUUCUAAUAUAUCUGCAUAUUUGUCAAGGCUGGAGAUAGAUGAGCUGGACAGUGGGCAGGGAUCUAAAUGAGCUGUGUGGUAUUUUCACUGCAAGCAGGGUUCUUUUUUCCUCAUUUAUUUGACUUUCUCGUUUUGUUGUGAAAUAAGCUGAUAAACUGCUUAAGACAUCAUGUCAAGUGAUUUCAGUUAUUCUUGUUCUGCGUGUUGAAUUCUGUAUAAAUAAUGGGUAAGUGAUAAAAAAAAAAAGGUAAAUUGAUUCAGGUACAAGCUGCAGCUCAGAAAAACACCCAGUUGGCAUUAAAAUUCAGCUACAGGCAGUGGGAAUCAAAUGGUGGUGGUGAUUACAACCUGGUCUAGGAGGGGAAGGUGUCCCUGCCCAGGGCAGGGGGGUGGGAUGAGAUGAGUUUUAAGGUCCCUUCCAGCCCAAACCAGUCUGGGAUUCUGUGUUGUGAGUGUUCAGCAAUUAAAUAUAAAUACAGCAAGGUAACACAUCAGGCAGCACAUCCCCUCUUCCCUGAGGGUUGGAUGGGUGUUCUUUCAUUUCAUGUUCCAUUCUUGGCCUGAUAGUUCAGUCAGUGGGACAAUGUUUUGUUCCUGAGCACUCUGGGCCCUAUUUGGAAGGCAGAAGGUGAUGGAGAAACCUGAGCCUCUGGAAAUGAUUUGGAAAUGAUCUUUUGGACCAUCUGCUCCUGGCUGGUUUAGGAAUAUUGAGAAGAGGAGCUCAGCCCGGGGACUGGGUGACAAACCUUCCUUGUUCUGAGGUCUGAACCAAACUUGUUGUGGCUGCAGAUGACAGGGGGAGUUUCCCAGAAUUCCUGUGGUCGUUUCAGUGCCGUGUCCUUCAUCCCCCAAGCUGGGAUUAAUUGCAGCAGGGCGGGUUUAAAUUUGAAACAGGCACCCCAGGCUGAGCUUUCCCUUCAAGUACAGAUCAGCUGGGGGCUGGCUCUGCAGGACUUGAA